GCUGGGUGUGGUGGCGCAUGCCUGUAAUCCCAGGUACUCGGGAGGCUGAGACAGGAGAAUAACUUGAACCCAGGAGGCAGAGGUUGCAGUGAGCCUAGAUCGCGCCACUGUAAUCCAGCCUGGGUGACAGAGCAAGACUCUGUCUCAA
ensembl:misc_RNA Metazoa_SRP Metazoan signal recognition particle RNA